CCCGAGCUAGCCAGUAGCAACUCUCUCUGGUCCCUUUCCACACUGUGGAAGCUUUGUUCUUUUGCUCUUUACACUAAAUCUUGUUGCUGCUCAGUGUUUGGGUCCGCACGGCGUUUGUGAGCUGUAACACUCACCACGAAGGUCUGCAUCUUUGCUCCUGAAGCCAGCGCGAAGGUGUGCAGCUUCAGUCCUGAAGCCAGCGAGAUCGCGAACCCGCCAGGAGGGACGAACAACUCCCGCCAGGAGGAACAAACUUCUCCAGACGUGGCGCCGCCUUUAAGAACUGUAACACUCACCGCGAAAGUCUGUAGCUUCGCUCCUGAAGCCAGCGAGACCGCGAACCCACCAGAACAAAGAAACUCCGGACACAUCAUCUUUAAGAACUCACUGGGAGAGUCUGCGGCUUCAUUCCUGAAGUCAGCGAGACCAAGAACCCACCAAUUCUGGACACAAUUGGAUACUAUAAUCGAUAAAGCUUGGCCUUCAGAAAUUCCCAGUCUUGCAAAGGCAAGAGGGAAACACAGCAAGGAGCAAGGUUGUCUGCUGAAUAUUUGCCAAGAGGAAGUUUGGGGAAAUGCCACAUGCAUAGUAAUUCCAAGUAGUAUGAUGUCUCUUCCUGUAACUCUUCAGAUUCUCAAUCCGGUCUCCUGAGAAAGACAAUCACUUAUUCUAUGGGAAGCCUGCUGCCAUGCUAUGAGGACACUCAGGCAGUACUGUGGAGAGUUGCACAUGGUAAAGAACUGAGCUCUCUUGCCAACAUCCAUGGAAUGCAAAUAAAUAAUAACUGUUAAGUCCACCUUGAAGCCCACUUGGGAAACAGUUAAACCCAAGGCACAGUUUCUCAAAAAGUGUUUGUGGAAUCCGUGAAGUUACUCAACCUGUGGGCUGCCACCUCCUCAGCUGUAGAACAGACAUCUUCACAGUACACACCUAACAGGAUGGCUGAGCUAAUGAACUUUACAAACU
rnacentral:lncRNA from 10 species